rnacentral:rRNA from 1 species
AGUGAACGCUGGCGGUAGGCCUAACACAUGCAAGUCGAACGGCAGCACAGUAAGAGCUUGCUCUUACGGGUGGCGAGUGGCGGACGGGUGAGGAAUACAUCGGAAUCUACUUUUUCGUGGGGGAUAACGUAGGGAAACUUACGCUAAUACCGCAUACGACCUACGGGUGGAAGCAGGGGAUCUUCGGACCUUGCGCGAUUGAAUGAGCCGAUGUCGGAUUAGCUAGUUGGCGGGGUAAAGGCCCACCAAGGCGACGAUCCGUAGCUGGUCUGAGAGGAUGAACAGCCACACUGAAACUGAGACACGGUCCAGACUCCUACGGGGGGCAGGAGUGGGGAAUAGUGGACAAUGGGCGAAAGCCUGAUCCAGCCAUACCGCGUGGGUGAAGAAGGCCUUCGGGUUGUAAAGCCCUUUUGUUGGGAAAGAAAAGCAGCAGGUUAAUACCCCGCUGUUCUGACGGUACCCAAAGAAUAAGCACCGGCUAACUGCG